GAUGAACGCUGGCGGCGUGCCUAAUACAUGCAAGUCGAGCGAACAGACGAGGAGCUUGCUCCUCUGACGUUAGCGGCGGACGGGUGAGUAACACGUGGAUAACCUACCUAUAAGACUGGGAUAACUUCGGGAAACCGGAUCUAAUACCGGAUAAUAUAUUGAACCGCAUGGUUCAAUAGUGAAAGACGGUUUUGCUGUCACUUAUAGAUGGAUCCGCGCCGCAUUAGCUAGUUGGUAAGGUAACGGCUUACCAAGGCAACGAUGCGUAGCCGACCUGAGAGGGUGAUCGGCCACACUGGAACUGAGACACGGUCCAGACUCCUACGGGAGGCAGCAGUAGGGAAUCUUCCGCAAUGGGCGAAAGCCUGACGGAGCAACGCCGCGUGAGUGAUGAAGGUCUUCGGAUCGUAAAACUCUGUUAUCAGGGAAGAAAAAAUGUGUAAGUAACUAUGCACGUCUUGACGGUACCUAAACAGAAAGCCACGGCUAACUACGUG
rnacentral:rRNA from 1 species